rnacentral:rRNA from 1 species
GCAAGUCGAACGGUAACAGGUCUUCGGAUGCUGACGAGUGGCGAACGGGUGAGUAAUACAUCGGAACGUGCCCGAUCGUGGGGGAUAACGGAGCGAAAGCUUUGCUAAUACCGCAUACGAUCUACGGAUGAAAGCAGGGGACCGCAAGGCCUUGCGCGGACGGAGCGGCCGAUGGCAGAUUAGGUAGUUGGUGGGAUAAAAGCUUACCAAGCCGACGAUCUGUAGCUGGUCUGAGAGGACGACCAGCCACACUGGGACUGAGACACGGCCCAGACUCCUACGGGAGGCAGCAGUGGGGAAUUUUGGACAAUGGGCGCAAGCCUGAUCCAGCCAUGCCGCGUGCAGGAUGAAGGCCUUCGGGUUGUAAACUGCUUUUGUACGGAACGAAAAGACUCUGGUUAAUACCUGGGGUCCAUGACGGUACCGUAAGAAUAAGCACCGGCUAACUACGUGCCAGCAGCCGCGGUAAUACGUAGGGUGCAAGCGUUAAUCGGAAUUACUGGGCGUAAAGCGUGCGCAGGCGGUUAUGUAAGACAGAUGUGAAAUCCCCGGGCUCAACCUGGGAACUGCAUUUGUGACUGCAUAGCUAGAGUACGGCAGAGGGGGAUGGAAUUCCGCGUGUAGCAGUGAAAUGCGUAGAUAUGCGGAGGAACACCGAUGGCGAAGGCAAUCCCCUGGGCCUGUACUGACGCUCAUGCACGAAAGCGUGGGGAGCAAACAGGAUUAGAUAUCCUGGUAGUCCACGCCCUAAACGAUGUCAACUGGUUGUUGGGAAUUCACUUUCUCAGUAACGAAGCUAACGCGUGAAGUUGACCGCCUGGG